UCCUGUCCAACCCCAUCCCCCAAUAUGACUGCAUUACAAACAAGGCUAGAAAGGCACCAACAAAAUUUAAGGACCGCACUGAAGAAGAGCAGGGAAAAAAAAUAUCCAUCACCAAACAAACAAAGAAAGGACACACACUCUCAGAUUUUGACUAUUUCCCAGUGAUAAACAGCGUUUGGGAGCAGUUGCAUAACCCCAGCUGCACUGAACGAAGAGUCCUCCAAGGAGCCCCCACACCUUCUCCCUGGCUGUGGGAAGGAUGGCACCUUGCCACAGCAGCUCACAGGCCUACAGUGAGCACAGAACAGGACAAAGCCCAAAACUAACAUGCAGCACAUGCUGAGAGGGUUUAGUGUGACAACUAUCCACUACAAAUUGCUGUAUGGGCCACAGAUGGUCAGUGAGAUAGCUUGGUCCCAAGAGCCAUUACCCUGGAAAGCAAAAGGUUAGAGUGAAACAGCUGCUAGAAUGAGGAGAAACAGGAGGGAAUACAAAGGGAGUAUCUGGGCUCCUUAUCCUGAUGUAAAUGUGUGGGUGAGUCUUACUACAUUUAAUGCACUUUUCUUCUUUAAAGCCCCACCCCCUGGAAUGAUGUAGCUGCAAGAAUCUCCAAGCUUUGGCUUAAGACUUAUUUUUGGAAAAGUCUUAAACGCAAAAUUCAAAAGGCAGACCCAAAAAGAAUAUUAAAUUUUCUGUUUUUCCACUGAUGUGAUUUAGAAAGGAAGUGGCUAACAGGUGAACUUCCAAGUGUAGAUAUAUGCAGUGAUAGCAAGACUUACUUUAAAAGCUCCCUAGGAGCUUUCAGCUGAAAGAGCAAACUUCUGGAGCAGUGACAGCCCACAGCUGCUUUGACAUUUUCAACAUCUACAAAGACUUUACAGCCUCUCUGAAUCCAAUUGUACUUAAUGAUACAUAUUUAAAAUACUGUAUUUUUAAACAACCUAUUUAAAGCCCUCAAAAAGUCCUUCAAAUAGAAAGGGAUCUUCAGAUAAAAAGUAUAUUGCCAGACUUUGAGCAAGCAACAAUGGCUUAAAAAACCCCACACCACUACUCACAGAUUUCAGAAACUCUAGAUCUUUGCAGCAGCUGCUGAAGAAACUAGGCACAUCUGCAGGAAAGGAUGUCCUUUACUGCAUUUCAGAGUUUGGGGACCAAUUAGCCAGGCUAAGAGAAAGCUUGCUGAACAGUUGUCAAAGAACCCCCUGAGCUGGAUAUUGAGUUACACACUUAGCUAAGACAAAAAUAGGGCACAGAGGGACAUGUGCAACUCCCAGGAUCGGAGUAUUUGCUGCUAAAGGGGCAGCUGGGCAUUGCAUGGUAACUUUUCAUCAAGCUUGCACAGUGAAUGAGCUUCCCUUCUUCAGGAAGCUCAACAGAGCUAAA